GGAGGGCGAUCUGGCUGUAACAUCUGUCACCCGAUUGAUCCAGGGUUGAUUUGACUGAUCUGGCUGGCUAGGCGGGUGUCCCCUUCCCUCACUGCUCCAUGUGCAUCCCUCCCGAAGCUGUGUGCUCAGUCGAAGAGGAUGGCCUUCCCCAAAUACAGACUGACCGACCCGGUCUUUAGUCUUAGCUUGAGGGUAUUCGAGUAGCUGCACUUCCCUGCUAGAACCUCCAAACAAGCUCUCAAAAAAAGUAAUUUCACUUUGUGUUUCUUACAGAUUAACAACUGAUUUUCAAUGUCUGGCUUU
rnacentral:snRNA from 1 species